rnacentral:rRNA from 1 species
GAUGAACGCUAGCGACAGGCCUAACACAUGCAAGUCGAGGGGCAGCAUGAAAUUAGCUUGCUAAUUUUGAUGGCGACCGGCGCACGGGUGAGUAACACGUAUGCAACCUGCCUGUAAGCGGGGGAUAACCCGGAGAAAUUCGGACUAAUACCGCAUAAUAUCAUUAGAUCGCAUGCUUUAAUGAUUAAAAAUUUAUUGCGUACAGAUGGGAAUGCGUAUGAUUAGCUAGUUGGCGGGGUAACGGACCACAAAGGCGACGAUCAUUAGGGGUUCUGAGAGGGAGGCCCCCCGAAUUGGAGCUGAGACACGGUCCAAACUCCUACGGGAGGCAUCAAUGAGGAAUAUUGGUCAAUGGACGCGAGUCUGACCCAGCCAUGUCGCGUGAAGGAUGACUGUCCUAUGGAUUGUAAACUUCUUUUAUAUGGGGAUAAAGUGUGAGACUUGUCUCAUUUUGCAUGUACCAUAUGAAUAAGCAUCGGCUAACUCCGUGCCAGCCGCCGCAGUAAGAC